rnacentral:rRNA from 1 species
UACAGAGGGUGCGAGCGUUAAUCGGAAUUACUGGGGCGUAAAGCGUGCGCAGGCGGUUUUGUAAGUCUGUCGUGAAAGCCCCGGGCUCAACCUGGGAAUUGCGAUGGAGACUGCAAGGCUUGAAUCUGGCAGAGGGGGGUAGAAUUCCACGUGUAGCAGUGAAAUGCGUAGAGAUGUGGAGGAACACCGAUGGCGAAGGCAGCCCCCUGGGUCAAGAUUGACGCUCGAUGCACGAAAGCGUGGGGAGCAAACAGG